UCCGAGGGGGGCAAAUGUUGUUCGGAAUUACUGGGCGUAAAGCGAGCGUAGUCGGUUAUUUAAGUCGGGUGUGAAAGCCCCGGGCUCAACCUGGGAAUUGCAUUCGAUACUGGAUAGCUAGAGUUCGGCAGAGGGAAGCGGAAUUUCCGGUGUAGCGGUGAAAUGCGUAGAUAUCGGAAGGAACAUCAGUGGCGAAAGCGGCUUCCUGGACCAGAACUGACGAUCAGGCUCGAAAGCGUGGGGAGCAAACAGG
rnacentral:rRNA from 1 species